AGAGUUUGAUCCUGGCUCAGAUUGAACGCUGGCGGCAUGCUUUACACAUGCAAGUCGAACGGCAGCGCGGGGCAACCUGGCGGCGAGUGGCGAACGGGUGAGUAAUAUAUCGGAACGUACCCAAGAGUGGGGGAUAACGUAGCGAAAGUUACGCUAAUACCGCAUACGAUCUCAGGAUGAAAGCAGGGGACCGCAAGGCCUUGUGCUCCUGGAGCGGCCGACAUCUGAUUAGCUAGUUGGUGAGGUAAAGGCUCACCAAGGCGACGAUCAGUAGCUGGUCUGAGAGGACGACCAGCCACACUGGAACUGAGACACGGUCCAGACUCCUACGGGAGGCAGCAGUGGGGAAUUUUGGACAAUGGACGCAAGCCUGAUCCAGCAAUGCCGCGUGAGUGAAGAAGGCCUUCGGGUUGUAAAGCUCUUUUGUCAGGGAAGAAACGGUUCAGGCUAAUAUCCUGGGCUAAUGACGGUACCUGAAGAAUAAGCACCGGCUAACUACGUGCCAGCAGCCGCGGUAAUACGUAGGGUGCAAGCGUUAAUCGGAAUUACUGGGCGUAAAGCGUGCGCAGGCGGUUUUGUAAGUCUGUCGUGAAAGCCCCGGGCUCAACCUGGGAAUUGCGAUGGAGACUGCAAGGCUUGAAUCUGGCAGAGGGGGGUAGAAUUCCACGUGUAGCAGUGAAAUGCGUAGAGAUGUGGAGGAACACCGAUGGCGAAGGCAGCCCCCUGGGUCAAGAUUGACGCUCAUGCACGAAAGCGUGGGGAGCAAACAGGAUUAGAUACCCUGGUAGUCCACGCCCUAAACGAUGUCUACUAGUUGUCGGGUUUUAAUUAACUUGGUAACGCAGCUAACGCGUGAAGUAGACCGCCUGGGGAGUACGGUCGCAAGAUUAAAACUCAAAGGAAUUGACGGGGACCCGCACAAGCGGUGGAUGAUGUGGAUUAAUUCGAUGCAACGCGAAAAACCUUACCUACCCUUGACAUGUCAGGAAUCCUGGAGAGAUCUGGGAGUGCCCGAAAGGGAACCUGAACACAGGUGCUGCAUGGCUGUCGUCAGCUCGUGUCGUGAGAUGUUGGG
rnacentral:rRNA from 1 species